rnacentral:rRNA from 1 species
UACGGAGGGUGCAAGCGUUAUCCGGAUUCACUGGGUUUAAAGGGUGCGUAGGUGGAGUGGUAAGUCAGUGGUGAAAUCUCCAAGCUUAACUUGGAAACUGCCGUUGAUACUAUCAUUCUUGAAUAUCGUGGAGGUAAGCGGAAUAUGUCAUGUGGCGGUGAAAUGCUUAGAUAUGACAUAGAACACCGAUUGCGAAGGCAGCUUGCUACACGAUCAUUGACACUGAGGCACGAAAGCGUGGGGAUCAAACAGG